rnacentral:rRNA from 1 species
GAAUUCGCCCUUAGAGUUUGAUCCUGGCUCAGGACGAACGCUGGCGGCGCGCCUAACACAUGCAAGUCGAACGGAGCUUAGAGAGCUUGCUUUUUAAGCUUAGUGGCGAACGGGUGAGUAACGCGUGAGUAACCUGCCCUAGAGUGGGGGACAACAGUUGGAAACGACUGCUAAUACCGCAUAAGCCCACGGUGCCGCAUGACACUGAGGGAAAAGGAUUUAUUCGCUUUAGGAUGGACUCGCGUCCAAUUAGCUAGUUGGUGAGGUAACGGCCCACCAAGGCGACGAUUGGUAGCCGGACUGAGAGGUUGAACGGCCACAUUGGGACUGAGACACGGCCCAGACUCCUACGGGAGGCAGCAGUGGGGGAUAUUGCACAAUGGGGGAAACCCUGAUGCAGCGACGCCGCGUGGAGGAAGAAGGUUUUCGGAUUGUAAACUCCUGUCGUUAGGGACGAUAAUGACGGUACCUAACAAGAAAGCACCGGCUAACUACGUGCCAGCAGCCGCGGUAAAACGUAGGGUGCAAGCGUUGUCCGGAAUUACUGGGUGUAAAGGGAGCGCAGGCGGGAAGACAAGUUGGAAGUGAAAACCAUGGGCUCAACCCAUGAAUUGCUUUCAAAACUGUUUUUCUUGAGUAGUGCAGAGGUAGAUGGAAUUCCCGGUGUAGCGGUGGAAUGCGUAGAUAUCGGGAGGAACACCAGUGGCGAAGGCGGUCUACUGGGCACCAACUGACGCUGAGGCUCGAAAGCAUGGGUAGCAAACAGGAUUAGAUACCCUGGUAGUCCAUGCCGUAAACGAUGAUU